CAGCAGUAGGGAAUCUUCCGCAAUGGACGAAAGUCUGACGGAGCAACGCCGCGUGAGUGAUGAAGGUUUUCGGAUCGUAAAACUCUGUCAUUAGGGAAGAACAAGUACUAGUUAAAUAAGCUAGUACCUUGGCGGUACCUAAGGAGGAAGCCCCGGCUAACUACGUG
rnacentral:rRNA from 1 species